GGUGUGCAUUGGUCGGCUUGUCCCU
rnacentral:siRNA from 1 species